AAAAAGACAAACCCUGGUUUCCGUGUCCAACAUUUGACCGUCCGUCUUAUUUGAAAAAAUUAUGAAAAAAAAUUAAAAAGACAAAUCAUACAUAAAAUAUUAAUAAUGUUUUAUCAUCUAACAACAAUGAAAAUACGAAUUAUAAAAAAAUUCAUAUAAGACGGACAGUUAAAGUUGGACAAAAAAAAUCCAGAGGUUGUCUUUCUU
rfam:Oryza barthii chromosome 2, whole genome shotgun sequence.